AUUGAACGCUGGCGGCAUGCUUUACACAUGCAAGUCGAACGGUAACAGGUUAAGCUGACGAGUGGCGAACGGGUGAGUAAUGCAUCGGAACGUGCCCGAUCGUGGGGGAUAACGCAGCGAAAGCUGUGCUAAUACCGCAUACGAUCUGAGGAUGAAAGCGGGGGACCGUAAGGCCUCGCGCGAUCGGAGCGGCCGAUGUCAGAUUAGGUAGUUGGUGGGGUAAAGGCCCACCAAGCCGACGAUCUGUAGCUGGUCUGAGAGGACGACCAGCCACCCUGGGACUGAGACACGGCCCAGACUCCGACGGGAGGCAGCAGUGGGAAAUUUUGGACAAUGGGCGAAAGCCUGAUCCAGCAAUGCCGCGUGCAGGAAGAAGGCCUUCGGGUUGUAAACUGCUUUUGUACGGAGCGAAAAGGUCCUUUCUAAUACAAGGGGCUCAUGACGGUACCGUAAGAAUAAGCACCGGCUAACUACGUGCCAGCAGCCGCCGUAACAC
rnacentral:rRNA from 1 species